AUUGAACGCUGGCGGCAGGCCUAACACAUGCAAGUCGAGCGGAGCGGCGGACGGAUGAGUAAUUCCCGGGAAUCUGCCUGGUCGUGGGGGAUCACGUCCGUAAACGGGCGCUAAUACCGCAUACUAUCAGAUGAGCCUAGGUCGGAUUAGCUAGUGGGGGGGGUAAAGGCCUACCAAGGGGACGGUCCGUAACUGGUCUGAGGGGAUGACCAGUCAGACGGGAAAGGGGAAACGGUCCAGAUUCGUACGGGAGGCAGCAGUGGGGAAUAUUGGACAAUGGGCGAAAGCCUGAUCCAGCAAGGCCGCGUGUGUGAAGAAGGUCUUCGGAUGGUAAAGCACUGGAAGUGGGGAGGCGUUACCAACAGAAUAAGCAACGGCUAACUACGUGCCAGCAGCCGCGGUAAUAC
rnacentral:rRNA from 1 species